UAAUGAAAAACAUUUUCUUUAUUUUCUCAUUUUUGUUUGGUGGAAAAUGAAUUCCCACCAUAAAUCAUUUUUCAAAACAUGGGAAAACGAGGCCUUUUUUAUUUAGGAAAAUAUCUUACCCUUUUUUUUUUUUUUGUCGAUAAGACAUUCUCAAAUCUUUCUCCUCUUCACAUCCCAACAAAGAAAAACCCUAUUCCCCUUCCCCCUUCUUUGGGACUCCGACCCAAUGCUUGCUGCCAGCCAGCAACGCUUCUUAACACCAGUCACCAACGUUCAUCUUUGAUAUUCCCCCUUUCUGCCUUUCAUUGCCAAAAUCUGCACUACACCAGUUGAGAAACAAACCAGAAAAUUCACCACCACUCUUCCAACCUCGUCUUCUCUUUCUCCUAUUUUACCCGUCCCUCAACCUAAUUUGAAGUUGAGAUUUCUUUGUUUUCAUUGGUUUUCUUUGCUUUCUUGCAUCUGUUCCAAAAUGCGUUUUUUAGUUCUUAGAGUAAAAGUUUAUAUUUAUUUGUUUUCAUUGGUUUUCUAUGCUUUCUUGCAUUUAUUCCGAUAUGGGUUUUAAUUCUUCUAUUUCUUGGUGUUCAAAUUGGUUUUUGAUGUUUUCUUUUUUCAUAUCAUAGGAUUUUAAUCUCUUUUUUUGCUCUAAUAAUCAUUGGCUCUAUUGCACUUGUUGCAACAUUUGCGGGAGGUUUGCAACUUAGACAUGUUUACAUUAUCUUUGUACAAGUAAGAUGCUCUAUGAAUUGCUGGUGUUGAUGCUCUAUGAAUUGCUGGUGUUAUCAUAUUGUCUUGAUUGUAUAUUAUUAUUUGUGGCUUAAAGAAUCGGUGGUAUUGAGCAAUUGGCUGGAUAUGAUGGAAUGAUGGUUCUGAUAUAACAUGAGCAGAUGUUACUGAUGGAGAAAAGAUAAAGAUAAAAGAACUCGUAUAAGUUAAAAAAAAUAAUUAUACCAAACAAGCAGAUGUGAUUGAACCAACUUAACUCUGAAGAUGGCUUCAUCACAUAUCAAAUUGAGAGGGAGGUGCCCCUUGAUUUCCUUAUGGAUCUUUAAUAAGUUUGUGUGAUUAUUUUUCAUGGAUUUAGUUAUCAUUGGGUUUAUUUAUAUCUAUAUGAAGUAAACAAUCAUAGGAAAUAUCAUGAUUCUGUUUAGCAAAAAUUUGCAAAAUGUGUUAUGUCUGAAUUGCUUCCAGGGAGAGAGUAAUCAAAGAUUAAGCAUAUUGAAAUCAGACUUUUGUCAUAUAAUGUGAGUUAAUUAUGUCAGAAGUCUUGGAGGUGUCCUUACCCCUGCAUGUCUACCUCUAUGUUCCAUUUAUGUUGUAAAUUGAAUUGUAGUUACCAAGAAUUUGAAUCUGCACAUGGACAAUGAAGGCCUUGGAUUUAAUUUUACUACCUUUAACCUCCCUCUUUGCUAUGUGUUUAUAAUUCAACAUUAAUCGUGAUUGGCAAGUUUGCAUAUUGUGAUGCGCAUUUACUAUAUGAGAAUUUGAGAGAAUAUUUUCCAUGUCUAAUUUUGGCAUGCUAAUACUUUGUUGUUCAUAUGUCUAAUUCUUUGUUGUUGUUUGUCUUCGUUUUUUGGAAGAUUGAGAUUGUGGUGGGAAAAGUUGAGAAACUUGGUGCUAUCAAUGUAGUUGUAACUUCAAAGAAGGUUGAUGAUUAGAAGGUAUAGAUAUUAAAGAAAAGCAAUAGCAUUGGAAAUUCACUACUUGUCAUGGAUGAUCUUUUCCUGAAAUAGGAGAUAGUGGACCUAAACCUUUCUGUCUGUGUGUGUGUUUUUCUUCUUUUAUCAAUCUUUUAUGAUAUUCGAGUAUCAAUCUACUGUACAGUUUGCACAGAAAAUUUUAAAAAGGAUGCAUUUUGUCAA